rnacentral:rRNA from 1 species
CCCUUAGAUGUUCUGGGCUGCACGCGCGCUACACUGAUGCGCUCAACGAGUUUAUGAACUUGCCCGGAAGGGUUGGUUAAUCUUUUUAAAACGCAUCGUGAUGGGGAUAGAUUAUUGCAAUUAUUAAUCUUGAACGAGGAAUUCCUAGUAAACGCAGAUCAUCAAUCUGCAUUGAUUACGUCCCUGCCCUUUGUACACACCGCCCGUCGCACCUACCGAUUGAAUGGUCCGGUGAAGCCUCGGGAUUGUGGCCAGUUCACUUUAUUGGGAGUUGGCUGCGAGAACUUGUCUAAACCUUAUCAUUUAGAGGAAGGUGAAGUCGUAACA